GCCGGCCUCGCUGACCCAUUUAGGUAAUCGCUUAUGUAGCCGCAUGUUCCUGUGUGACUUGGACAUAUUUUUGCUCUGCGAAUGCUUCAAAUCUUUUGACUGAGCCGUAAGGAUCCCCCUGAGCCUUGAGGUCAGAAGGCAAAGAGCAUGGGAACCAGGAGGGUGCUGGUGACUGGGUGCUCCUCUGGCAUCGGCCUGGCGGUGGCUGCACGGCUGGCCAAAGACGAGCUUAGACGGUUUAAAGUGGUUGCCACAAUGAGGGAUCUUAAGAAACGGGGGCCCUUGGAGAAAGCAGCAGGUGACUCUUUAAACAAAACCCUGGAAAUCAAAGAACUGGAUGCUUGUUGUGAAGCUUCCAUAAAAGAGUGCGUCAACAGCCUGCCAAACAGACGGGUGGAUAUUCUUGUGAGCAAUGCUGGCGUUGGCAUGAUUGGGCCGCUGGAGUGCCAAAGCAUCGCUGCCAUGAAGGAGCUCUUUGACACGAACUUCUUUGGCCUGGUGCGGCUCGUGAAGGAGGUGCUGCCAGACAUGAAGCAGCGUCAGAGCGGCCAUAUUGUGGUGAUGAGUAGCGUCAUGGGAAUACAGGGACUUCUGUUCAAUGAUGUCUACUCUGCCUCCAAAUUUGCUGUGGAAGGAUUUUGUGAAAGUCUGGCAGUGCAAGCAUUGAAGUUUAACAUCAAGACAACUCUAGUGGAACCUGGCCCUGUGAUGACAGAGUUUGAAAGGAAAGUGUAUGAAGAUGCUGAGAUGAUGGAUCUGUCUGAGACCGAUGAAGAGACUGCCAAGAUCUUUCGUGAAGUUUACCUUCCAUACUCUAAAAAGGUCUUCACCUCAUUAGGGCAGACCACAGAGGAAGUGACUGAGCAAACACUUAAAGUGAUCACAGCCAAAGAUCCUCCUCUGCGCCACCAGACCAACCGCCUGUACACACCUGUGACUGCACUGAAGCACGCUGAUCCGACCGGCCGGCUGCCUCUGGACACUUUCUAUAAGAUGAUCUUUAAGCAUGACAAUGUGCUCAAUGCUACUCUUGGGGUUCUGCGCAUGCUGCAGAGGAAGACAGGUUUCCCAGAGACUAUGGGUUGAGGAGGAAUUGGAAGUUUGUCGGCUUAGACCUGGUGUCAUUCCAUCAGUGUUUAACUUCCCGGCUCAUCUUUGAAGAGUAUGUGCCAGAAAGACCACGACCAAGCAGCCUUGAGAUCUUAGACAGCGUCUCCCUCAGGUGGGUGUCGACGGUGUUCAUGGUCAGGUCUGUGGUAAUCCCGUCAAAAAACAAAACAGAAAAAAAAUCUAGAUUAUAAAUCAACAUGGAACCAAAGCACUCUGUGUAUAACGCCAUAGUAUAGGAUGUAGUUCAGAAAAUGUCAAAGUAUAGUAUGCUUUACUCAAGAAUAACAUAGUAUGGCCUGUAGUUCAUACUACAGCAUGUUGGCAAGAACAAAAACCAAAACAUAGAUUAUUAUGUGGUUCAAAAAGCGCAAAAUGAUUGGAUGUUGCCUAAAAUUGUCACGAUGAUAUAUGGUUCAAAAAAAUGUCAUAGUGCAGUAUAUUGUCAAAAAAGUAUGUAAUUCAAGAAAACAUCAGAGUAUAAUAUGUCAUCUAAAAAAUGCCAUAGAAUAAUAAUUUCAUUGCACAAGUAAAAGUAUAGUAACUUUUAAAACUGUUCGAAUUCUUAUAUGUUGCUAAAAAAAACAAACAAAAAAAAAAGUCACAGUAAUAUGUCAAUUAAAAAAGCCUAUAGCAUAGCGUGUCGCCCAACAAACAUCAUAGUAUAGCAUGUCGCUCUAAAAACGUCACAGUAUAGCCUUUAGUCCACAGCUGUCAGUAGGUGAGAGGCAACAUAAAAACAAUCCAAACGCUGGUUUCCAGAGGGUUAGACGAGUAUUUAUUUGAAAGAGUAAGUUUACAACAACACAACAUGUGAGGGGGUUAAAAACAAAUGGGUGUUAGUAAAAUAAAAAUAAACAGAACUAAAAGUGAACUUCAUGUUGACAUUGAUGGGCAUUCCAACCAGGAACAAAGUAAAAGAUAAUCAAUACGAAAAAAAAACUCUUCCUGUUCACCUCUUAAAACCCAAAAACAGACCGCAGUAGCACCCUAAACUAAAACUACCAAUGGCUUCCCUGUUUUCCUUUCUGUACAAGUCAAAGGUCCCUCUCUAUCUCCCUACACAUCCACCAACCACUGGAACACAUCUCCAAAGUUCUGCCGGGCCAGCUCAGCUUCCCCUCAGAAGAAAUUCUGCCAGAUGAAGGAGCCUUUUGAGAGGCAGCUGGCAUCGUGAUUGGACUGUACUUUGGUCUGUUCCAAUCCAGCUUCAGCUCCAGAGACGGCAGGCGGGACGAGUCAACGGAGGCCGGGUGGACGAAGGCAUGCAGCUGAGUACAAUCCAGAAAACAACAGAGGAGGAGUGCAGCGACCCAGGGCCAGAACAAACAGAGUAACAUAACCAAAGAACUACAGACUCUUCACAACCUACUCAAACUCUUGGUACAGAACCUCACCACACGGGUCAAGAAGGUUUCCAUCUCAUUUCUACUCUGAAGUUCACCUUCUCCUGCUCAAACUGCUGACAAAUGUUUCUGCUGCUCUAAAGUCUGGUCUCCAGAACUUCCUAAAAACUCUCAAAGUCUCUUCUGCUGCAGGUUGCUUUGUAGAACUGUUCCAGAAAACCUCACUAAACCACAUGGAGGAGCCUCAAGAUAGUCGUCCAAAUGAAACCAUACAAAAACCAAACUAGCACAACCCAAACGCUAAAGUCUCCUGCAGCCUACCAGAGAACCUCUGAGAACAGAGAAUCAGGACAGGAACUCUUACCUUCUGGACAACCAGCGUUGGUUCUCAAACAAGAAUACAGAAUGUGUCAGACCAAAAACCUCUAAAGACUCACUACAGCCAAGAUAAAGACACAACUCAGCUGCAGCAAAUCCACUAAUCACUGCACACAUUAGCACCAUGUGCUAACUGUGGCUAAAGAACCACAUUUACCAAGACAACUAUCUGGUACAAAGCCCUAAAACACACCAAGAAACACAUUAAAGAUGAUUUUACUGCUGGAAGCUGCAAGCCAACGCCUAAAGAACAAACUACAGCAACAGAGUCCAAACCCGGUUCAGUGGUGAAGAGAAGCAGAGGAAAUGUUUGUCUGCAGCUAAAUAAAGCAGGAAGACACUGAGCUGCUCAGGUGUUCCUGAUAACACCAAGCAGCCACCUGGACAGCCAAUAGGAACACAGCUUACUGGAAGUCCAGAGGGCUGGCUUAGUGAAGGAAAUUUAAUUUAAAGUUGAAGCAGAAAGUUAACAAAGAAAGUUGAAAACCACCUUCUGAUACCUGAAAUCUCUGAGUUUUCACACAAAGAACACCUGAACAUGUCAAACUGGUUCCAUAGUAGAACCAUCAUUGUAAAAACGUCAUAGUAUGAUGUGUUGCUCAAAAAACAUUAGGACCUGGCUGUCAGGGGACAAACAUGUAAGAAACAUGAGAACAGAGAGAACCCAACCAGUAGGUCACAGUUUAUCAUCCCCCAGUCAUCUCCUGAAGUCCAUAUGGUGAGAGACAUCAGUAUCUGGUUGUUAAUUUACCAGAGGAUGCUUAUAAUCAUGCUGAUGUGGUCUGUACUCUACAGUAUUUUAGUGACUCAAUAAAUGCCUAAGAUGUUUUUUUUAAAAUGCUUUUUAGUUUUUCAUAAACAUUUAACAGUCUAUAUGUAAUCAAUAAAUGGCCUUUGCCUAUCUUAAGAAAAACUCACUCAGAACUCUGAUAUGUUAACAGUACUAAAUAAAUCAAUAAAUACAUGCAUACACACAUAAAUAAGUUAAUACAUUAACUGUGUUAAGAUAAGAUUUAGAUUAAAAAAAAAGUUGUUUAUGUUUUUGCAGAAUCCAGUAUUACUCACUGGUUGGUCAUUACAUUUUGUUAGUUUGAUUUCACUGUUUAAAAUGAUGCCACCUCUUUUCAGACCUGUGAUAAUAAAACAAUACAAAACUUUUAGUUCCGUGUUAAUAAAGUACUUAAAGCUUUAAGUAUGGCUAAAUGCUUUUUUCAAAAUUAAAUAUAUCACUCCUUAGGUGGUAGUGGCCCCAAGUUCGGUAAAGUUGGAAAGAUAUUCACAGAUUCAGACUUCCAGCAUCAAUAACUCAUUAGAUAUAGGUUGUCAAAACAUAAACGGUGCCUCUUUCCCAUUGUUGCAAAGCAGACAAUGUGCUACAAGCCCAGUUUUAUCAAAAGUAGCUGUCUUUCAAGCUACAGGAAUAACAUUGGUGUCUAUGGAGUGAACAGGGUCCGUCUGCAAUUUGCAAAACCACUGCAACAGUAAAGAGAGACAAAUAUUCAAUAACUUCACUCUUAUACAUUGUAGUGUCACUAAAAUCACUGCAGCCUUCAACUGGCUCCUGUUGACAAAGUGUUUUAACAGAAAUGUAAAUGCUGUAAUGUGAUUCUUUUAAUGAACCAUGUAACUUGAAUGGAUGUGAUGCUGGUGUGACCACAGUGCACACGUCUGAUGUUGCUCACAGUGGUCCAAGGGACGCUCAGGGAGUUUGUGUGUUUGCUCACACUCAUGAAAAAUUACAGGGAACAUUGUUUGCAGCAAACUCACCCUUACUGUUCUAAUGAAGUUGCACAUUUUUGUGGUAAUUCUCAUUGGGUAAAUUUGGCAUCAUAAUUGUGUGACUCUGGGUUGAGUCACCCAUAUUUAACAAAAUCGGAGACAAAAAUCAACUUCAGGAAAGUCAUGAGGAGUUAAGUCUGUGUACAAAUGCAUCAUUUCCACGGGAUUGAGUGGCAACUAAUAUCUGCAGGUCACAGCUAAAAAUAUGUGUAAUAUAGUGAGACAUAUCUGCAUUUUGCCCUCUCUUUCUUGUUUAAUAGUAAAACAUGAAACACUUACUGAACACGAGGACACAAAAUGUAGUUCCCUACAGUUUUUAUUAUAAGUAACUUAUUUUACAACGUUUGACUGUAGAAAGAAAAACUGUAGAAAGGUUUUAUGUACAAUGAUUUUGAACUACUUUUAAACAAGUAUUGAAAUUAAUAAUGAUAGAAAAUAUCUAUGACUGUUCUAAUAACACAAGACCAAUGAAAUAUCAGUCACAGCCUCAGCUUCAAAUAAUGCUAAAUGAAGUACAUUUUUAUUUUUGUCCUUUUUAGUACACAACAAUCAUUUUAGAAACAUAAGACUUCUCAAGCAAUGAUCUACCAGAACAAACAUAUUUACAAACAGAAAUUGGGAGUUUGAAAUGUACAAAACACUUAGUGCGACCUGGUAUGGAAAUUGUAAGACCAGUUAUAUAUAAAAAUAAAACAAACAGACAAAAAACUGUUUUCCUUGUAAGUAAGAUGUGAACUGGACUGUGAACAACAUGUUUCCAAGGUCUGACAGAACAGUAGCUGACUCUAUAGCGAACAGGAUAAAACAAUGAAUUAAAGAUAAACUCAGUCUAUGACACAACUAGGGGCAGUGUUUAAGUCACCACAAAAGUAGUAGCUAGGAGUGGUGGCCUACUCAUUUCUGUUCAUGUUGUCACAAGACGAAAAUGCAAAGGUUACGUUCUCAAAAUUCUACUAUUACCAACUGACUUUAUGUUGAAAUGUCCAAAAAAAAAAAAGGUUAAGGAGAAGAGAACCUCUAUCCUGCACACUCAGAAAAUAAAAGAGUUGGUCAGACAUUACACAAAGUCUUAGUUGAGUGACUGAGUCUCAUCUUAGAAUUGUUAAAAGUUAAAGGGUGCAGCACUACAUAGUAGUGUUUUUUUGUCCUUCAGCCUCUUUUAGCAAUCAUCUUUAGAUGCAACUCCAUGGCCCCUGGACUGGAAGCUACUGUAGAUGCAGGGGAACUGUCCCACUGCAUGCCAUAAAACACCUCCCUGAGGAGUGACAGGGCAUAAGCAGUCACAGCCCAGCAGCCGCCCCCUCACACUGACCACAGCUCCACCGCAGACACUAGCAGGAACGAGGUGAGAGUGCUGCUACAAGUAGUCCAUUUAAUGUGGUCAAGAACAUGAGAUAGUUAUGUUCUGCGUUGCUGAAAGGCACAGCGUCCAAACUCAACAAAACAAGCAAAAUGGAGGAAUGUUUGCAGGGAAGAGUGAUAUAAAAUAGCAGCUGAUAUAAGCAUAGCUUAGUACAUCUGAAGUGAUGUUUUCAAAAAAAAAAGGUAUUCAUGGUUUCCACAAAUAUACAGAGUAUAAAACAAACAAAUAAAAAAGAAAACAUAAGGGCAGUGAGAGG